rnacentral:rRNA from 1 species
UUUAACAUGAGAGUUUGAUCCUGGCUCAGGAUGAACGCUGGCGGCGUGCCUAACACAUGCAAGUCGAACGAGGUAAAUGAGAUGAAG